UGGGGAAUAUUGCUCAAUGGGCGAAAGCCUGACGCAGCGACGCCGCGUGGGGGAGGAAGGCCCUAGGGUCGUAAACCCCUGUCAGGUGGGACGAACCCCGGGUCGGCGAACAGCCGGCUCGGCUGACGGUACCACCAGAGGAAUCCCCGGCUAACUCCGUGCCAGCAGCCGCGGUAAUACGGAGGGUGUGAGCGUUGUCCGGAAUUACUGGGCGUAAAGGGCGCGUAGGCGGCCGGGUAAGUCGUGUGUGAAAGGCCGGGGCUCAACCCCGAGUAUGGCACGCGAUACUGCCUGGCUGGAGACAGGUAGAGGUGAGCGGAAUUCCCGGUGUAGCGGUGGAAUGCGUAGAUAUCGGGAGGAACACUCGCGGCGAAGGCGGCUCGCUGGGCCUGUUCUGACGCUGAAGCGCGAAAGCGUGGGGAGCAAACAGGAUUAGAUACCCCCGUAGUCC
rnacentral:rRNA from 1 species